rnacentral:rRNA from 1 species
UGGGGAAUAUUGCGCAAUGGUCGAAAGACUGACGCAGCGACGCCGCGUGUGGGAGGAAGCCCUUCGGGGUGUAAACCACUGUCGGGAGGGACGAACCGCGAACGGGCAAAUAGCCCGGGCGCCUGACGGUACCUCCAAAGGAAGCACCGGCUAACCCUGUGCCAGCAGCCGCGGUAAUACAGGGGGUGCAAGCGUUGUUCGGAAUUACUGGGCGUAAAGCGCGGGCAGGUGGCCUUCUAAGUCCUUUGUGAAAUCCCGGGGCUCAACUCCGGAUGUGCAUAGGAUACUGGAAGGCUUGAGACAGGUAGAGGCGAGCGGAAUUCCUGGUGUAGCGGUGGAAUGCGUAGAUAUCAGGAAGAACACCGGUGGCGAAGGCGGCUCGCUGGGCCUGUUCUGACACUCAUCCGCGAAAGCGUGGGGAGCAAACAGG